rnacentral:rRNA from 1 species
CAUGAAGCUGGAUUCGCUAGUAAUCGCGCAUCAGCCACGGCGCGGUGAAUACGUUCCCGGGCCUUGUACACACCGCCCGUCAAGCCAUGGAAGCCGGGAGUGCCUGAAGUGCGUGACCGCAAGGAGCGUCCUAAGGCAAUACCGGUGACUGGGGCUAAGUCGUAACAAGGUAUC